rnacentral:rRNA from 1 species
UACGUAGGGGGCUAGCGUUGUCCGGAAUCAUUGGGCGUAAAGAGCGUGUAGGCGGCCCGGUAAGUCCGCUGUGAAAGUCGGGGGCUCAACCCUCGGAUGCCGGUGGAUACUGUCGGGCUCGAGUACGGAAGAGGCGAGUGGAAUUCCUGGUGUAGCGGUGAAAUGCGCAGAUAUCAGGAGGAACACCUAUUGCGAAGGCAGCUCGCUGGGACGUUACUGACGCUGAGACGCGAAAGCGUGGGGAGCAAACGGG